GCGAAAACGUCAGUGCUCACAAUAGAAUAUGGCGGCGAUUUAUGACGUCAUAUAUUUCCCUAGGGUACUGCGGUAGUAUUCUGGUAGUCCAUAAUGGAACGAAUUUUUCUACAGUGUGAGCACUGUGCAGUGCUCGCAGUGCAUAUCGGAACAUACCCUUGAUGUGCAGUGUUUCAAAUUGGGCUUCCAAUUAAAUUAUUUAUAUUUUUAUUUUGGUGCAAUGGCUACUUAAUCAUAGACAUAUAACUCAUAAUAGAAGCAAAGACAAUUAAUUCUAUGAUUUUUAUUUUAUUAAUUGAAUUAUGAGUUACUUAGACUAUACAUAAUUAUGAAAUAUUUGUAGUGAAUACUAAAAGAAACCCAAAAGAAAUUAUGUAAAAAUAUCAAAUUAAAUAUCACUUAAACCCCACCAAUACUAAUAUCAAACCUUAGAUUAAGGUUUGGUCUCCGCUGCGCUCCAACUAGAUACCGCAUUCGCAGUCGCAAAGUACGGCAACUAAUACUAUGCCUUGAACUAUGUGUGAUGUUGACAUGCCACAUGUUCUGUUAAACUUUGAAACUAAAAUACCGGGUUGCAUAGUAAAAGUUUGUAAAAAUAAUACUACAAGAAAUAAGAAAGACACUGGAAUCACAUAUAAUCAGUGAGCAUUUUGUAUUUUAUUAAUUUCGAUGUAAAUUAUCAUGAAGUGUAUGUUACAAAAUUUUAGUGUCAAGAUGUCACACACACAAGUCUAAACCUAAUAGUUGCCGUAGUAGAAAAACUAUUGUUCUCUGUAGUGUGGUAUUGAGUUGGAUCACAGCGGAGACUAAUCCCUAUUCUAUUUAUAGAAACAUUAACCUGACAUCGUAAUAUGUAUUUUAGUUCUUGUACAGGUAGUGCCAUUGUUAUAAAGUUGUUUUAGAUCACACAUCAUAUCUCAGUACUUAGACUAAUUAAACUGUGAAUUGUACAUGAUCAUAGUCAUGCUUACUUAUAGUGAUAGAAAAGUAAUGGAAUAGUAUUAAUUUCUUAUAAUGAUAGACAAACUGCUGACGAGUAGUAGUACUUUAUAGUUUAUUUUAAUGAUUUUAGUUUUGUAGAUGGAUUUUUGAUUAUAUAAUAUUAUGUUAAAUUUUCAGAAAUAAUAUUCUUGUACUACUUACAAAGAUUGUUAGAGACUGCAUUAUAAAUUUAUAAUAUUAACUAUUACAAUCGCCAAUAACAAAUAUGUAAUGUUUUAAUAAAUUUAAGUGCACAUAU